rnacentral:rRNA from 1 species
CAAUAGCGUAUAUUAAAGUUGUUGCGGUUAAAAAAGCUCGUAGUUGGAUUUCUGCUGAGGACGACCGGUCCGCCCUCCGGGUGAGCAUCUGGUUCGGCCUUGGCAUCUUCUUGGUGAACGUAUCUGCACUUGACUGUGUGGUGCGGUACCCAGGACUUUUACUUUGAGGAAAUUAGAGUGUUUCAAGCAGGCAUACGCCUUGAAUACAUUAGCAUGGAAUAAUGGAAUAGGACUACGGUCUCUUUGUUGGUUUGAGGGACUGCAGUAAUGAUUAAUAGGGAUAGUCGGGGGCGUCAGUAUUCAGCUGUCAGAGGUGAAAUUCUUGGAUUUGCUGAAGACUAACUACUGCGAAAGCAUUCGCCAAGGAUGUUUUUCAUUAAUCAGGGAACGAAAGUUAGGGGAUCGAAGACGAUUAGAUACCA